rnacentral:rRNA from 17 species
UGAACGCUGGCGGCGUGCCUAAUACAUGCAAGUCGAGCGAACAGACGAGGAGCUUGCUCCUCUGACGUUAGCGGCGGACGGGUGAGUAACACGUGGAUAACCUACCUAUAAGACUGGGAUAACUUCGGGAAACCGGAGCUAAUACCGGAUAAUAUAUUGAACCGCAUGGUUCAAUAGUGAAAGACGGUUUUGCUGUCACUUAUAGAUGGAUCCGCGCCGCAUUAGCUAGUUGGUAAGGUAACGGCUUACCAAGGCAACGAUGCGUAGCCGACCUGAGAGGGUGAUCGGCCACACUGGAACUGAGACACGGUCCAGACUCCUACGGGAGGCAGCAGUAGGGAAUCUUCCGCAAUGGGCGAAAGCCUGACGGAGCAACGCCGCGUGAGUGAUGAAGGUCUUCGGAUCGUAAAACUCUGUUAUUAGGGAAGAACAAAUGUGUAAGUAACUAUGCACGUCUUGACGGUACCUAAUCAGAAAGCCACGGCUAACUACGUGCCAGCAGCCGCGGUAAUACGUAGGUGGCAAGCGUUAUCCGGAAUUAUUGGGCGUAAAGCGCGCGUAGGCGGUUUUUUAAGUCUGAUGUGAAAGCCCACGGCUCAACCGUGGAGGGUCAUUGGAAACUGGAAAACUUGAGUGCAGAAGAGGAAAGUGGAAUUCCAUGUGUAGCGGUGAAAUGCGCAGAGAUAUGGAGGAACACCAGUGGCGAAGGCGACUUUCUGGUCUGUAACUGACGCUGAUGUGCGAAAGCGUGGGGAUCAAACAGGAUUAGAUACCCUGGUAGUCCACGCCGUAAACGAUGAGUGCUAAGUGUUAGGGGGUUUCCGCCCCUUAGUGCUGCAGCUAACGCAUUAAGCACUCCG